CACCUGCAAUGAGAUUACCACAAAGAACGUAACGCAUAGAAAACUGUGUCGGGAGAAAGCAAUUGCCGAUCAUGAUUCGAAAAGAAAGGAUACAUCGAUUCACAAUCAUUCUAACUCUGCCUGUUAGCAUACUUUCACAAGUGAAAAAGUAACCUGUAUGUUAACAAGCAACGACGUUAGAAACAAAUUUCGUUUCUCACGACCGAGAACAAAAUAAAGUAUUAAACAUUUUACUAUUUUUUCCAUGUUGUAAGGUUAUUAUCACGAGUAUUUAACAUUAUCAUUUGACAUUUUUAUUGCUGUUCACGCGUAAGAAAGAAACGAUAACAAUAGCAUUUAAAAAAGUUUGAAUGCGUUGAAUAUGUAAAAGUCAAAGAUGGAACAUUCAGAAGGUGUAUUUUAUAAUUAAUUGAUAUUUUUCAAAUAAUUUUUGUUUAUUGUUAAUCUUGGCAAGAACAGUCAAUAUAUUCAGUUAUAUAUUAAUAUAUAUCUUGAUAAGGCUGCUGAUGAUUCUGCCGAGAUUCAGUAUUGUUAUUCGAUACGUAACGAACGGGACAGAUGCAGGAAAGCUCCUUCCAUUGCCAACUUAUUACUCUUACAAUGUCUUCAAAACUUUAUAUUUUGAAAUAAUGUACGUUGUUCAAUGUAUCAAUUUGUUGAUAGCAUCAUUUUGUUAUAUCGGGGUCGAUAACUUUUUUGGAGUAUUAAUCCUUCAUAUUUUCGACCAAUUAGAAAAUCUUCGCUUUCACCUUGCAAAUAUGAAGGAUUCGAGAUAUGGAUAUGAAACUUCUAAUCACGUUUUAGGAGCUACUAUAGAAGAUCACAUACGACUCAUCAGAUAUAUAUCCGCUGGGAAAGAGCGGUUUACCGUACUUCAAGUGGCCUACUUAUUCUGUAAUUUUGUAAAUACAUUUCUUCAAACGUCUCUUUAUUUCUUGGCAGAACAAAUGUUAUCCGAAGGAGUUCACAAUACUGCAUACGAAUGCGAGUGGGUAAGCCUGAAAUUCACGAAAGCGAAAAGCUUGAUUAUAAUCAUGGCAAGAUCAAAGAGACCGCUCCAUUUAACCACGGGAAAAUAAUUUCCUCUAACGAUGCUAAAGUUUUGUAAUAUAAGAAGCCUACCUUUCUUUCCUUUUCUUUUUCUUCUUCUGCCUUUGUCUUUUACCUAGCAUCGUUUCAGAUAUUAAAAAUAUCAUUUAGCUAUAUAUCCUUCCUACUGAUAAUGUUACAUUAAGACAUUACAAUUUAUGAACAUUCACCAGCCAAUCUAAUUGAGUUCUCCCUAGUUUACAUCACGAAAGAUACUUAAACGAGGCCCUUUCUAUGAAAUAGAUCAUAAAUUUUUGGAGAAAAGAUAAACAUAGAUAGAACAUUGUGUGCUUCCAAUCAUAAGUAUCAUUAUUUAUAAUAGAAGUAAAUGCAUAAAUUAACGUUAGAAAUUUUAAAUUCAUUAUUUUUGUCUAUAUAUACAUAUACUUCUCGUCGUUAUAUGAGCAGUAAAGAUACAAUAUACGUCAAUUUAAUCUAAUUUAUUAUAAUGAGGUAGAAUAUAUCGAAAUAAACAGAUUCUUCCGACUAUCCGAAUAAAAUAAAAAAAUACAUUUAGAAAAUAAUAAUAUUUCUAUGAAAUAUUAUCAAUUAUG